rnacentral:rRNA from 1 species
AACGAACGCUGGCGGCGGGCUUAACACAUGCAAGUCGAACGGAAAGACCCUAAUUGUUUGGGGUUCUCGGUGGGCAAACGGGGGAGUAACAGGUGAAUAACCUGCCCUUGACUUUGGUAGGGCUUCAGGAAACUGAGGCUAAUACCGUAUAGCAGCUCCUGCUGCAUUGUGGGGGUUGGAUAUUUUCGGCUGUUGGGGAUGGACGCGCGGCUUAUCAGCUUGUUGGUUGGCUAGUGGCUGACCAAGGCUGUGACCGGUCGCCGGCCUGAGAGGGUGAACGGCGACCAUGGGACUGCGAUACGGCGCAGACGCCUAUGGGAGGCAGUAGUGGGGAACAUUGCACAAUGGGAGGAAGCCUGAUGAAGAAACGUCGCGUGUGUGAUGCCGGCUUUUGGGUUGUAAACAGCUUCAGCUUGUGACGACGCGUGAGUGACGGUAAUGGGUAAAGAAGCACCGGCUAACUACGUG